rnacentral:misc_RNA from 1 species
GAAGCAAGAGAGCGAGAAAAG